rnacentral:rRNA from 1 species
GAUUGCCCCAGUAACGGCGAGUGAAGCGGCAACAGCUCAAAUUUGAAAUCCGGCCCCCAGGGCCCGAGUUGUACUUUGUAGAGGAUGCUUUUGGCGCGGCGCCUUCCGAGUUCCCUGGAACGGGACGCCAUAGAGGGUGAGAGCCCCGUCUGGUCGGACGCCCAGCCUCUGUAAAGCUCCUUCGACGAGUCGAGUAGUUUGGGAAUGCUGCUCAAAACGGGAGGUAUAUGUCUUCUAAAGCUAAAUACGGGCCAGAGACCGAUAGCGCACAAGUAGAGUGAUCGAAAGAUGAAAAGCACUUUGAAAAGAGGGUUAAACAGUACGUGAAAUUGUUGAAAGGGAAGCGCCUGUGACCAGACUUGGGCCCGGUGAAUCAUCCAGCGUUCUCGCUGGUGCACUUGGCCGGGCCCAGGCCAGCAUCAGUCCAGCGCGGGGGACAAAGGUCGCGGGAAUGUGGCUCCCCCGGGAGUGUUAUAGCCCGUGGCGCAAUGCCCUGCGCCGGACUGAGGUACGCGCUCCGCAAGGAUGCUGGCGUAAUGGUCAUCAGCGACCCGUCUUGAAACACGGACCAAGGAGUCGUCUUCGUAUGCGAGUGUUCGGGUGUGAAACCCCUACGCGGAAUGAAAGUGAACGCAGGUGAGAGCUUCGGCGCAUCAUCGACCGAUCCUGAUGUUCUCGGAUGGAUUUGAGUAAGAGCAUACGGGGCCGGACCCGAAAGAAGGUGAACUAUGCCUGUAUAGGGUGAAGCCAGAGGAAACUCUGGUGGAGGCUCGCAGCGGUUCUGACGUGCGAAUCGAUCGUCAAAUAUGGGCAUGGGGGCGAAAGACUAAUCGA